rnacentral:lncRNA from 1 species
UCAGUUUCUCUCUGGAAUUCAAGAAAAAAUCUAUUCCAUAAAAUCAUCAAUUAUUUCAUUUUCAUACAUAUAAUAAAAAUAGGAAUAUUAUUUUGAAAGACAUAGUUAAUCUAAACUUUUUGAGAUGAAGUAACAAAUAGCCUAAAAAUUUUAAGACAAAAAAUAUUUUUUAAUUAUUUUUUGAUUAAAUAAAUACCAAUAAUAGAAAAAGAUAACUAGACUAUUGC